UACGAAGGGAGCUAGCGUUGUUCGGAUUUACUGGGCGUAAAGGGCGCGUAGGCGGUCUUGUAAGUAGGAUGUGAAAGCCCUGGGCUUAACCCGGGAACUGCAUUCUAAACUGCAAGGCUUGAGUAUGGGAGAGGUAAGUAGAAUUCCCAGUGUAGAGGUGAAAUUCGUAGAUAUUGGGAAGAAUACCAGUGGCGAAGGCGGCUUACUGGACCAUAACUGACGCUGAGGCGCGAAAGCGUGGGGAGCAAACAGG
rnacentral:rRNA from 1 species